CGGAGGGUGCAAACGUUGUCCGGAAUCACUGGGCGUAAAGCGCAUGUAGGUGGCUUUGUAAGUGGACGAUUAAAGACCGAUGCUUAACAUCGGGCCUGUUGUCUAUACUGCAUGGCUUGAGAAUGACAGGGGUAAGCGGAACUUUAGGUGUAGGAGUGAAAUCCGUAGAUAUCUAAAGGAACACCAAUGGCGAAGGCAGCUUACUGGGUCUUUUCUGACACUGAGAUGCGAAAGCGUGGGGAGCGAACGGGAUUAGAUACCCCGGUAGUCCACGCUGUAAACGAUGCUGACUAGGUCUUGGAGGGUAUCGACCCCCUUUUGGACCGAGGCUAACGCGUUAAGUCAGCCGCCUGGGGAGUACGAGCGCAAGCUUA
rnacentral:rRNA from 1 species